rnacentral:rRNA from 2 species
GGAUGCGAUCAUACCAGCACUAAAGCACCGGAUCCAUCAGAACUCCGAAGUUAAGCGUGCUUGGGCGAGAGUAGUACUAGGAUGGGUGACCUCCUGGGAAGUCCUCGUGUUGCAUUCC